rnacentral:lncRNA from 1 species
UGAUUCUUGGUGACCAUUUAUUAGAAGCUGUAAUGACCCAUAUGGGGCCAUAUUCAGCUGAAGAACCGUUUCAGAGGUGUCUUCUGCUGCACACCCUUGUUGCGGUCUAGCGUUAGCAGCAUACUUCACAUUGUCUUCAAUUGCCACCUAAAUGGAGUCAAGCCAAAUCUUUUCACUUUCUUUUCUAUUUUGGAAAAGCUUUUGAAAAAACAAUCCCAAGCUUCUACACCACCUUCAACUCGACAGGGAACCCGCAGUGUGUCUGCCACCCAGCCUUCCUCUCCAUCUGUCAACUUGCGUCGUGGUGCUCAUGUCCAGAACAUGAACGUGGACCUCAGCUACCUGGAUCAGGACAUGAAGGUAAGACUUGAGUGCUGUAGUAUAUGGCUUCCUAUAAUGUUACAUAUUUUUCUUGAGGAUGGUGUGGGGUGUUAUUUGUCCAUUUUUUUCCCCCCAGCGUGGAUUCUACUGACUUAAUUUGAUGUUCAGGAUUUACUCAGAGUUGCUUUCACCUAACUGGAAGGUGCUAUUGGUGAAUCACUGGGGGAGCACAGCAGCUGGCACAUGGCUGAAACUUGUGCUCUAGAACACAGCCUGCAAAUACUACACGUCACACGCAAGGGGCUUUACACGUAGGAAACACUACUUGCCCUUUCCUUCCUGUGCCUCUGAAGCACUGUGUACAUGGCACUCUCUGGACAUCACCUUUUGUGGUCUGGUGGCCUUUGCUCACACUGGGUCAAAACUGGGGGGGCACCUUAGGCUGGGCAGUGGGCACAGCUGUAAAACUGCAUGCUGACAGGGCUAGAGCUGAACUGAAACCCACACAACAACUGGGAGGCGAAACAGCUUCUCUUCCUUCAUGGUUACCAUCCUGUACAUCUUCCAGGUGCUGGAAAAGCUUGGCCAAGUUUUACAGACAGAUUCGGUUACCCAGAUCCAGAAAUGGCUUGAAACGGCAAGUAUAGAAGAGAAAGGCUUCGUGUACAGACUGAUUUUCUCAAAACCGACUGACAAAGGUGUGCUGAACUCUAAGGAAGGUCCAGCAGAGAACAUGAAUACCCAGACUCUGCUACAGCCUCACCCUCUUCCUCCGAGAGGACCAGAAGGGGAAAUGAAUCAGUCCAGGUAAAAAUUGCAGUGAGGUUGCGAAGACUGGGGACAGACUAAAGCCCAUAACCAGAAACCCUUGUUUUCUCCUCCCAUGAAACACUUAUCAUGCACAGCCUGAAGCAGAAAUGUUCCUAACUCCAAACAACCCCAGGCUCUUUGAUACAACUUUGGUUACUACAGGAAAAAGCGGAAAGUUUCUGGAGUACUCAAAACCCUGUUGGGAAAAAACCACCUGUACAUUAUACUACACAGUUUUUACUAGUUAUAAAAUUAAACAUUCUUUCUUUUUUAUUCAGGUCUUCAUCCAGCUCAUCAGUGGUGAGUCGAAACAUUAAACAGGGUAAGACACAGAAAUUACAAAUGUUAAGAUACCGUAUGUCUUGGAUGCUAGUCACCAAACAGCACAGGACUGUGAAUCUUCCAAAGCUCUAACUUCUGUCUUCGCAGCACCACCCAAAUUAGAAUCACAGAAUUCAGAGACAAUAUCAUUCUCAUAUUACAUUUAAAACCUGAAUUUACGUUCACUAAGAGUAUCGCUAAGAUACGCAAGACCCUCUAUACAGCUGUAUCUGCCUCUGCUAGAAAGAACACAGCAGCAAGAGGUACUGAGUUCAUCUCUUCACCAAAGUCUGCACCUGUGAGUUAUACACAAGCUGAAACUCCUCCUUCUGCCAACAAACUUGGGGAUUUGCCAGUCUUGGCACUCCCACGAAACACCACUCUCACCUCUUUCUGUUCCUUCUAAAGCACACAGAAGCAACAAGAGUCACGCCCAGAGUGUUAUCUUUUAAACAAAGCCAUUCAUGCCAGCUCUAAUGCUACCAGCUUUCUAACUCCUCCAGUAAGAGUGGGUGAAGAGUAAUCUUAUGUAAGAACAAAUAGGAAAAAGAAGGAACUGCCAAAGCAACAGUCUCUCCUUUUCCAAGUGGUGUCCAGGGAUGAUUCCUUGCUAAAGUGCGGAUGUGCUUCUAUACUCUCAGCUGUGUGUGGAACAAAGCUAAUCCAGCCUAACAUAACCU